GCAUGCACAUCAAUUUUUGUGUAGCCGUUCGACGAAUUAAUUAGCCUUUGUCGACUCCAGAAUGUUCCUCUCAUAUUUCCUGCCUUAUCACUUUAUGUCGCCUCUGUAUUUGACUAUCGGUCAUAUUUAUUAUACUUUUGUUGCGUUAUCAGUUCUGCUAAAACUAUACCAUUGUUCAUUCUUUCAUAGUUCUCAUUUUGCAAUGCAUCUCAUAUGUCCUCUUGUACCAGCUUAGUCGAGCUUUUUAACAACUUUAAAGGAGAAACGACUAAGUAGCAACUGGAGCAGGAGUCAAAGAAUGUAAAUUACUUGCUUCCAAAUUUGAGAUUUGCUGAUUUGUCCUCGCCCGGGUAAAGAUCGCAGGAAGGAGACCAUGUCAAAAGCAUAAAUCCUGGAUACCUGUCAUAUGGAGCGGUACUGCUUAAUACAACAAAGAGAAUUGGCAACAAAAUUGCUUUCUCUCUUUAAAAUUAUAUAUUUGUCAUGCAUCCCACAAACUCUCACUUACAUAUAUGUUACAGCACAGCAACAGAGCCACGUACUCUGUUUUAAAUGUUGCAAAUGCUCAAAAGACAUUUUUAUUUCUUGAUUGUAUGCUUUCAUAUAUAGAUUGUAUUGAUGUAUAUAAAUCAAUGACAAAGAAAGGACGCUAACUUCCAAUAUAAUGUCAAAGAUAUUAACAACCAAAGUAAUUUGUUCAUCUUCACUUCCAAGAUAUUCAAAUUGAAGCUGAUAACAUUGUUCAAAAAAUCCAUUACAUAAAUAUAUAAAUGAAAGGAAAUUAGCUCAAACAAGAAAUACCAGAUUGCACCUUAUGUUCUCUAUGUUCAGCAACUCUUUCCAACAACAGAAUACCAGCAGUGACAGAGGAAUUAUAUUUAUUCAAAAAAUUGUGUUGUCAUGGACCGAAUGUGGUCUCUUCGAAUGCCACGAUUGCACAAUAUUCACAUAAUGGAUUGGUUGUACAAAAGGCUUUAGAAACUAGUGCAAAGCCAUAUUUCACAACCUUUGACAACAUCCUCCUUGCUUGUGACAAAAUUGUACUUAAGGAACAGGGUAUGGACAUCUGUCAAAACAUAAUUGGAGGUGGAGUUUUUUUUGGUAGACCCAUAUUUCAAGGUAAAAUUCAGACUUUUCUUUCAAGAAGACUCUCUUCCACAAAAGCUAAAAUAAAAAUUUUCUCCCACCAAAUCUUUAAAUUAAGCAUAAACAUAUCGGCAGGAACUUAACACUUUGCGUCUCU